rnacentral:lncRNA from 1 species
GGCUUUGGACUGCGGAGCACGCCGGGAGUCGUAGUCCCCAGGCCUGCUCGGGCCCACCUCGUCGGAGACGAGCAGGAACCGCCUCCUCUUCUUUGCAUAUCGGCGAAGUGUAGUUCUCAAGAGCAUUGUGGGGCCGGUUGCUGCCCGAAUCUCUCUAGGGAAUGGGACCGAGUUGGGGACCCAGACUCCCUGGCCUUCAUGGCCACAGUCCUGUCGCCGCCCCACCAAAAGCCAAUCUCUAAGUAUCCCAGAGUCCCGGGGCCAGAGUGGGAUGGGAGUGCGGGAUCGGAAGUUCCAUUUUUCAGAUGGGAAAAGUGAGGCUCAGAGAAAGCAGCCCAGACACGUUUCGGACCGGGACCCACGCACAGGCCCCUCCCCGGUCUUGGAAGGCCCUUCCUCUGAGAACAAAGAGAUGUUGGGCCAGAUCAUCUUCCACGCUUCUUCAGCUCCGAGAUAGGAACGCGGUCCCCCACCACUCACAGGCCGGCUGCUCCUCACCCAUCCGGUCUCACUGGGACGCCACGUUCCUCAGGGAAGCCAGUCGGGAACGUUUUUUUUGUUUGUUUGUUUGUUUUUGAGACGGAGUUCUAUGUUAUCCAGGCUGGUGUCGAACUCCUGGGCUCAAGCGAUCCUCCCAACUCGGCCUCCAAAAGUUUACAGGCGUGAGCCACGGUGCCCAGCCUCCUGUGCCUUUUAAUUCACUGAUGCAAUUGUUGAUCCAGCCCUGUCAGCCCCGAGGGUAGGGUCUGAGGUUGCUGCUGUAUCCCUGGCACUCAGUGGAGGCUUGGCCCAAAGAAAGAGGUUUUUUUGUUUUUUUUUUUUUUUCCCAAGACGGGAGUCUCACUCUGUCACCCAGGCUGGAGUGCAGUGGCAUGAUCUCAGCUCACUGCAACCUCUGCCUCCUGGGUUCAAGCGAUUCUUCUGCCUCAGCCUACCGAGUAGCUGGGAUUACAGGCACGUGUCAACACGCCCAGCUAAUUUUUGUAUUUUUAGUAGAGAUGGGUUUUCACCAUGUUGGCUAGGUUGGUCUCAAACUCCUGACCUCAGGUGAUCCACCCACCUCAGCCUCCGAAAGUGCCUGGAUUACAGGCGUAAGCCACUGCGCUCGGCCCAAAUUUUCUCCCCAGGAAUCUGGAACGAUGAAGGUGAUGAUUGUGCCUGUGGCCAAGACCGGGAGAACCCUGGAUCCCUACACCUUCCCCACCCCUGGAAUGUCACUAUACAUAUCUGACUUCUUCUGAUGUUGCCUUUGACCCUAAAGUCAAUAUGAUAAAGUAACAAGAAGCUGGGACAGAGGAACAAACACAGCCCACUCAAGCAGUGGUGGCAACAUUCUGUUAGAAAGGAGGGGAGUCAAAGAAAAAAACACCCCUCCGCCCAUCUCCUUAUCACCUCCCUAAAGACAGAGGAGAACAUGGACACCCUCCAUCCUGAUAGACAUGCCAUGUGGUCAGUUUGUGCGGUAAACAGGAAAAAAAAAAAACCUAAAGAUAUUGUAGACCUUUAUUUUCUUUAAAUCUCCUAAUAAAAACAUUAAACUUUCAAGAAGAUUCCAAACUGA